rnacentral:rRNA from 1 species
CCUACGGGAGGCUGCAGUGGGGAAUAUUGCACAAUGGGGGAAACCCUGAUGCAGCGACGCCGCGUGAGUGAAGAAGUAUUUCGGUAUGUAAAGCUCUAUCAGCAGGGAAGAAAUAGCGACCUUUGGGUCGCCAGACGGUACCUGAUUAAGAAGCCCCGGCUAACUACGUGCCAGCAGCCGCGGUAAUACGUAGGGGGCAAGCGUUAUCCGGAUUUACUGGGUGUAAAGGGAGCGUAGACGGCAGGGCAAGUCUGAAGUGAAAUGCCGGGGCUUAACCCCGGAACUGCCUCGGAAACUGUGCGGCUAGAGUGCAGGAGCGGUAAGUGGAAUGCCUGGUGUAGCGGUGAAAUGCGUAGAUAUUAGGCGGAACACCAGUGGCGAAGGCGGCUUACUGGACUGUAACUGACGUUGAGGCUCGAAAGCGUGGGGAGCAAACAGGAUUAGAUACCCGGGUAGUC